AGAGUUUGAUCCUGGCUCAGAUUGAACGCUGGCGGCAUGCCUUACACAUGCAAGUCGAACGGUAACAGGUCUUCGGAUGCUGACGAGUGGCGAACGGGUGAGUAAUACAUCGGAACGUGCCCAGUAAUGGGGGAUAGCUCGGCGAAAGCCGGAUUAAUACCGCAUACGCCCUGAGGGGGAAAGUGGGGGACCGCAAGGCCUCACGUUAUUGGAGCGGCCGAUGGCUGAUUAGCUAGUUGGUAGGGUAAAGGCCUACCAAGGCGACGAUCAGUAGCUGGUCUGAGAGGACGAUCAGCCACACUGGGACUGAGACACGGCCCAGACUCCUACGGGAGGCAGCAGUGGGGAAUUUUGGACAAUGGGGGAAACCCUGAUCCAGCAAUGCCGCGUGUGCGAAGAAGGCCUUCGGGUUGUAAAGCACUUUUGUCAGGGAAGAAAUCCUUUGGGCUAAUACCCUAGGGGGAUGACGGUACCCGAAGAAUAAGCACCGGCUAACUACGUGCCAGCAGCCGCGGUAAUACGUAGGGUGCAAGCGUUAAUCGGAAUUACUGGGCGUAAAGCGUGCGCAGGCGGUUGUGUAAGACAGGUGUGAAAUCCCCGGGCUUAACCUGGGAAUUGCAUUUGUGACUGCACGACUAGAGUGUGUCAGAGGGGGGUGGAAUUCCACGUGUAGCAGUGAAAUGCGUAGAUAUGUGGAGGAACACCAAUGGCGAAGGCAGCCCCCUUGAGAUAACACUGACGCUCAUGCAUGAAAGCGUGGGGAGCAACAGGAUUACAUACCCUGCAGUCCACGCCCUAAA
rnacentral:rRNA from 1 species